rnacentral:tRNA from 1 species
CAUUAAGAAGCUAUGAAACAGCAACAGCCUUUUAAGCUGAAGAUAGGUGUUUUUCUUCACCCUUAAUGA